CCUACGGGUGGCAGCAGUCGAGAAUCAUUCACAAUGGGGGAAACCCUGAUGGGGCGACGCCGCGUGGGGGAAUGAAGGUCUUCGGAUUGUAAACCCCUGUCAUGUGGGAGCAAAUUAAAAAGAUAGUACCACAAGAGGAAGAGACGGCUAACUCUGUGCCAGCAGCCGCGGUAAUACAGCGGUCUCAAGCGUGGUUCGGAAUCACUGGGCGUAAAGCGUGCGUAGGCUGUUUCGUAAGUCGUGUGUGAAAGCCGCGGGCUCAAGCCGCGGACGGCACCUGAUACUGCGAGACUAGAGUAAUGGAGAGGGAACCGGAAUUCUCGGUGUAGCAGUGAAAGGCGUAGAUA
rnacentral:rRNA from 1 species